rnacentral:rRNA from 1 species
GUCCUGGCCUUAAACGAUGGAUGCUUGGUGUCUGGGGUUUUAUAGUCCCCGGGUGCCGUAGCUAACGCGUUAAGCAUCCCGCCUGGGGAGUACGGUCGCAAGACUGAAACUCAAAGGAAUUGACGGGGACCCGCACAAGCGGUGGAGCAUGUGGUUCAAUUCGACGCAACGCGAAGAACCUUACCUGGGCUAGAAUGCCUCUGACAACUCCAGAGAUGGAGCCUCUUAGGGAAACCUAGGCAGAGUGCAAGGUGCUGCAUGGCUGUCGU